rnacentral:rRNA from 1 species
GCGAACGCUGGCGGCAGGCCUAACACAUGCAAGUCGAACGAACCUUUCGGGGUUAGUGGCGGACGGGCGAGUAACACGUGGGAACGUGCCUUUAGGUUCGGAAUAACUCAGGGAAACUUGUGCUAAUACCGAAUGUGCCCUUCGGGGGAAAGAUUAAUCGCCUUUAGAGCGGCCCGCGUCUGAUUAGCUAGUUGGUUGAGGUAAUGGCUCACCAAGGCGACGAUCAGUAGCUGGUCUGAGAGGAUGAUCAGCCACAUUGGGACUGAGACACGGCCCAAACUCCUACGGGAGGCAGCAGUGGGGAAUCUUGCGCAAUGGGCGAAAGCCUGACGCAGCCAUGCCGCGUGAAUGAUGAAGGUCUUAGGAUUGUAAAAUUCUUUCACCGGGGACGAUAAUGACGGUACCCGGAGAAGAAGCCCCGGCUAACUUCGUG